rnacentral:lncRNA from 1 species
GGCUCCCCGUCAGGUAGUAAUAUCCUCUCGUUCUCUUCGUCCCCUCCAAAAUAAUCCUAUUGCUGUGCAACACCUUUAGGAUUCCUCCACCAGCUACCGUCCUGUAGCCUCUCGAAUCUAGUCUGCUCAAUGAAAUAAGAUUCUGUCUAAAAUCAGAUAUAUUUUGGACAUCUCCUAAUCUCCUCACUGCACCAUCAUAUGUCCUCCAGCUGACCGUUCCGAUGCCUCUGAUCGCACAGCUCGAUCCAUCCGGUAGAUAAACAGUGCCCUCACUGUUCUCCAGAGAGUCAAACUGUUCCUCUUUACAACAUACAUGAUAGGUG